AUCUCUUCAUCUUGGAAGAUCGAAUGUUUCGAAGGCGGACCUAAAGGAGAAGCUCUCAAGGAUGUACGAGGUGAAAGAUCCAAACU